rnacentral:rRNA from 1 species
UUACUCGGCUACUUGCCUUGUCUGGUUUCGCUUUUGGGGUUUUCCCCUUUUUACUUUGAGAAAAUUAGAGUGUUUCAAGCAGACUUGUGUCUUGAAUACUUCCAGCCAUGGGAAUAAUAAAAGUAGGGACUUUU